UGAAAUAUAAGAUAAUAUUAUUUUAUUAGUAUAUUAGGAGUUAGUAGUUUGUUUUUUUAUUAAAAAGUAUAUUAUAUAUUAUAAAUUAUUAUGUUUUUAUUAAAAAUAAAAUUCCCCGACUCCCCGCGGGGAUCCCCGUUCCCCAUUCGGGGCGGGGAUCGGGGAGAAAAAUAAUCCCCGUUCGGGGUUCGGGGCGGGGUCGGGGAGGGGUCAUGAAUUCGGGGAUCGGGUUCGGGGAUAGCACUCCCCGCCCCGAAGUGCCCCCGUGCCCAUCCCUAAUAAUUACUCCCUCCGUCCCAGUCAUUUCUAUACAGUUUCGUUUUUGGGAUUUCUCAUCAUUUCUAUACAUUCCUAAAAUAGCAACUUUUAAUAAUAUAAAAAACUAUUACACCCACUAUUUUCUCCCACUAUCUCCAUUCUAUAAUAAUAAAAACACUAUUACACCCACUACUUUCCUCCACUAUCUCAAAUCUAUUAUUGAAAAUAAAUAGGUCCCACCACUUUACCCACUUUUCAUCCAAUUUUACUCAUUUCUUACACUUUUUCUUGGUCUCCGUGUCCAAUCCCAAUGUAUAUUAUUCAUUGGGACGGAGGGAGUAUGUUUUAUUUAGAUUCAAACAAAUAUAAUUUAAAAUGUAUAAAUGAUCUAUGUCAACUAUAAUUAAUACUAAAAUUUGUGAAAAUAAUUAAUUUGAUGAUUGGGUCAAAAUAUUAAAAUAAGUGAUUGAAAAAUCAAGGAGUAUAAGAUAUAAGAAGUAUUGUAUAAAAAUUAAAUUAAUAUUUAUUAGAUAAUAUUAAAUAAAUUUAUAUGUAUAAUCAAUGUUAAGAAAUAAGGAGAUAGAAUUAGUUGAACAAUAGAAUCAAAGAUGAGAAAAAUUAGUGGAGGAAAAUAAAAAUAUAUAAUAUAAUACUUAAUAACGAGAUUUAAUUAGAAAUGACGUAUAAGAAUAUUGAUGUCAUCCAUUUAGUGAGAGGUUGAUAAUUUAAAAAUAACAUUGAAAUCAUGAAGUUAAGUCUGGUUCAAUACAAUAAAAAUUUGUUGAAAUUUUUUCUUGAUUGUAUUCACAAAUAAUAGACAAAGAUAUAAAGAUAUUUUAAAGUGAACAUAAGAUAAUUAUACAAGAGCUUUCAAAAUUUCAAGUGGAUUUAUCCACCAAGUAGAUUUUAUAACUUUUUUGUGUUUGAAUAACACAACUACCUAUAAGAAAACCAAGAAAAGGUUUUUACAAGAUAUUUCUCUAACAGUUCUAAGUUCGAUGUUUCUUUUCGUAUAAAAUAGAUACUACUGUAAAAUGAAUUACAAUACUUGCUUAUAUAUCCUGAGUUUAUAUUUUUUUUCUUUACAGAAAUAAUUAACUUCUUAUUAAUAAUAAAAACCACAACCCUACUCAAAUAUUUGCUUACAUAUUCUUGAAAAUAUUUUUCUUGUUGACAAAUUUAUUUUUCGAAUACUCUCGUGUAGAUACAAAUAGCAAACUCCAUUUAAUAAACUAAGUCUACAUUAAGCUUGACUUUCAAAAUAGAUCAUAUUGUUCUGAUCGAUCAACGAUGUGAUUGUUGUCUUUUUUUCUCUUAUGUACAUGUCAACCGAUGUCAAUUAGACAUAGAUAAAUCAAUCAUCAGUCGUUGAUAGCUUACUUGACUAGCCGUUGUAGAUUCUUUUAUUAUCAAUUGAUAGUUUGUCUUUAUUAGUUGUUGAAGGGUUAAAAAAUUAAUUGAUAAAACUUUAUUUAUAUUUCAUUGAUAACUUAGAUUUAGUUGUUGAUAUUCACUUUACUUAAGUAAUUAUCAUGACUUAAAAAAUUUUAUAAUUUGACAUGUCAACUACACAUCUAUUGAUAAAUCAAAAAAGUAUAUUAGUUGAUCAACUUAUUCAGUUAAUUACUAACUUGUAAAGUACCUAUUUUGUUAUAAUACCACAUCAGUUGAUGAUAAUUGAUCAAUGAAUACUACAUAUAAUAUGCGAUCAAUUGAUUGGCUGGAUUUACUUAAGCAAAAUUACGUUAAUUAUAUUGACUAAUAAUCAAGACCAACAUAUUUCCAACAACUAUAUUUGUAAGUUCAUUACUUAUUCCUGGACCUUCGUCUUUCCUAUAAAUAACUCGUAUUCGAAGGUAUUUUUUCCACCCCUUAGAGGCCUUACAUAUAAUCUUUAAAUUACUCCCUUAAUGUUCUCGUAUUUCGAGAGUUUGUAGAAUUUUUAAUUUUUUUUAUAUUUUGUGAUUUUAUGAAAAGUACAUUUUUUUCCUAGAAAAUCAAAUGUUCGAUCUUGAAAACCAAACUCACUGGUCGUAGCAAGUUUGGCUCAGUUGGAGUCCUACAAUAGCUUCGUUCGACGAAUCGAUCAAUGGAGGGAUAACUUAUACCACCUUAUUCGGGUGAUUUUAAAUGUUGGGGUUGCUCCUGGAAUCUGGGGCCUGGUCGACAAGUUUGCUUGAUCUAAGACAUCAAUUGAUUCUUUACUCGGUUGGCGAGCUUCGCUAGGUUAAUGAGCGACUUGAUUCUUGGCCAUCAUGUUAAUCGGGAGGCAGGGUGUUUUGGUGACCUGGUCAGCUAUUUUGAUUUAUGAUUGGCAAACUCUUGUGUGUACAAAUUAUUUUUUAUCCAAAAUUUCGACGAUUAUGUAUAUUUUUCAAGUUGAACAAUGUGAAAUAUAUUAUUAUGUAGAAGAUGUUCUGUUUAUGGUACAUAUACAGUUUCAAGAUCUCCCA
rnacentral:lncRNA from 1 species